GGUAAUCCACAGCGGAUCUAUGGAGAAUUGCUGUUGAGCAGAUCUAUGGAGAAUUGCUGUGGGAGUGUUCUAUCCCGUUGACUACUCAUCAUUCAUCCAUACUGUGUGUGUGUCCCAUGAUUGCAGCUUUGGAGAUAAAUGAACUAUACAUCCAUUACUCCUUCCUGUGGUGAAUCACUGACUAGAGGGACGGGACCAGGAAGUUCACAGUAGCAUUGUUUUUCAUAGGCGUCCUGUAAUGUAGAGGUUUUUUCCCCCCCGAAAUCGACACUGAUAGUACAGUGAGUUUUUUAUAUAUAUAAUGUGAAUGUGUAGAUGUAUGGUGACUCCCCGUUUGGAUGAAAGGACCAACAGGACUGCCAUGGGAAAGUCCCUUGACGGGUACCAGGAAUGGUGGAAGGUGAGACUGAACAUGGACAGGGCGCAUGAGGAGGAUCUACCUGAGAAGAAUCAAGGGGACCAAGUGCUUUGACAUCUGGGUGAAUGACUUGGCUUGGAAAAAAGGAAGACUAGACCCGGGAAAGUUUGGUGCUCUUUCGAUCCUAGCUGGGGUCAACAUCCGUUAAGGACAUAGGGAUUCUGCCAAACACCCAGACAUGGAUCCUCCUGAUGUCCCCCAUUACCAACCACCCUCCAACUUUUCAUUACAUCAGCAACUGUUAUUGUCAAGUUGUCAUUAUUUGCUUAGAAAGAGCAAGACAACUAUCAUACUGGGCACAUAAUGUGAGCUGCACAGAUUAGCUAAAAACAUUAGCACUGCAAACACUCAGAACAAAGAGGGCAGCAGUGCCUGGACUACAGUUUCCCUCUUAGAGUCCACUGCCUGUUGAAAAACAAGUGACAGGCAGAACCUCCCAUCCACACAAGACCCACCUCCUCUCUAUUCCACACCAGAAUUCUAUAUUUCAGUCUGAUUGCCAAGUGAGUGUACAAAAAAAUCUGAAAGUAAAUUGACACAUCUACCAAACAAAUAUCAAUGGUUAUGUAUUUAAAUGUAAAAUAUUGCUAGAUUGAUUUUCACACCUGUUUCAUGAGGUUUUUGUUAUUGUGUAUCGUAUCCCUUGAUGGUAUUUGUUAAUUCAACAUUGCUAAGACAUACAAUAGAUAUCUAAUGUUUACUGGCCCAACACUAACCACUAUGCUACCAAGAAGCCCUUGUGUUUGUAUUGAUACAUGAAAUAGGCAUAUCUACACAGUAAUGGUAGCUGCGAUAUCAACUAGCCUAAUCAUUUUUGCAUUGAGAUGAUAGGCCUAUUUUAGCUAAAUCGACAAAUGAAAUUGAUGAACUAAACAGACACUUAAACUAACGGGUAACACAUGUGGACGUUAAGGCAUUCAUGGUAAGAUCACUUAUAAUAAACUUACCCGCAUACUGACACGUUACGCAACAUGCACAUCUACAUGACGUGUCACGUGACGUGAACGUUUGACGCCUUAGAAACUAACUUGUCUCCAUUGACUCCAUGUUAAUUCAUGCCGUUAUUUUAUGGCGCUAGGAAGAGGUUAGGUGACUUGGUGAAAGGUAUCAGUAGCUUCAUGAGGUUAAUUCUGGCAUAAAUCACCCCCCAUACGCUCUCACCUGCAGGCGACAUGCAGAUGUUUCAUUUCUCUCUCACGCUGUCAUGGCUGAAGCCAGCACAAAUUCAUACAAUUUAUGUUUCCAGGUUAAAUGUGGGACGUCCCUCAUUAUAAACAAACAUCGGUUAAAUUCAUGUUUUUUGCAUCAUUUUCAGAUCUAUUAGAAGAUAUUAAUAGACGAAACAACAAUGUAAUUUAACCAAUUGAUUGGCCAGGGCAUUCAUCAGCAAAGACGCAGAGAAAGCUGAAAGUAUUUUGGACAACCAAAUUGAAGACAAAAUGAUUGAUGAAAUCGAAGUGUGUCAGCUGGGUGAUUUGCGAUUCAUAACUUAAAUUUUAUCAGUACUACCAGUAUCAAUAGGCCAACCGAUAACACCACGACGGAAUGCGUUUGAAGUGAUGAUGCGCCACCGAGAACAGCUAGCAUGUCCAGCAAAGGAUAUCGCCAGUGGCACGCACACACUUCGUGCAUAUCAUCAGGUGGAGGAGGCCUAAUCAUAUUAGUAUGAAUAUUUUGUUAAUGCCUAAGCUCUAGAGAUGCAGUCAGGUAAUGAACUCAUUAUGGUGUAUCAACAUUUUAAUUUGAUUACAAAAAUGUGUUAGGCUAUACAAUUUAAGCAGAUUAAUGAACUGAUAAUACAUUCAUAACUUCCCAAUAAUUUUUGAAUAUGAUAGAAUAUUGCAUUCUGUUAGACAUCCUAUGUGAAUAAUGUUCAUUAAUGUUCAUUUGCGUAUUAAUACCAAUAAUCUGAAAAUAAGUCUGAAAUGGAAUAUUUUGCCUAUUGUUCAUGUCCAUAUAGUCUAGAACAAUGUGGUAAAGUACUGUUAUUACUUAUCCACUUAAUUAUUAUUAUUUUUUCACUCACUUGCCUCACUUUUCUGGGGGGAAAAUCCGUUAAACAUUGAAUCAGUUUUGU